GAUGAACGCUGGCGGCGUGCUUAACACAUGCAAGUUGAGCGAAGCACUUAUCAUUGACUCUUCGGAAGAUUUGAUAUUUGACUGAGCGGCGGACGGGUGAGUAACGCGUGGGUAACCUGCCUCAUACAGGGGAAUAACAGUUAGAAAUGGCUGCUAAUGCCGCAUAAGCGCACAGGACCGCAUGGUCUGGUGUGAAAAACUGAGGUGGUAUGAGAUGGACCCGCGUCUGAUUAGGUAGUUGGUGGGGUAACGGCCUACCAAGCCGACGAUCAGUAGCCGGCCUGAGAGGGUGAACGGCCACAUUGGGACUGAGACACGGCCCAGACUCCUACGGGAGGCAGCAGUGGGGAAUAUUGCACAAUGGGGGAAACCCUGAUGCAGCGACGCCGCGUGAAGGAAGAAGUAUCUCGGUAUGUAAACUUCUAUCAGCAGGGAAGAAAAUGACG
rnacentral:rRNA from 1 species